GAUGGGAGCUUAGCUCCCUGAUGUUAGCGGCGGACGGGUGAGUAACACGUGGGUAACCUGCCUGUAAGACUGGGAUAACUCCGGGAAACCGGGGCUAAUACCGGAUGGUUGUUUGAACCGCAUGGUUCAGACAUAAAAGGUGGCUUCGGCUACCACUUACAGAUGGACCCGCGGCGCAUUAGCUAGUUGGUGAGGUAACGGCUCACCAAGGCGACGAUGCGUAGCCGACCUGAGAGGGUGAUCGGCCACACUGGGACUGAGACACGGCCCAGACUCCUACGGGAGGCAGCAGUAGGGAAUCUUCCGCAAUGGACGAAAGUCUGACGGAGCAACGCCGCGUGAGUGAUGAAGGUUUUCGGAUCGUAAAGCUCUGUUGUUAGGGAAGAACAAGUGCCGUUCAAAUAGGGCGGCACCUUGACGGUACCUAACCAGAAAGCCACGGCUAACUACGUGCCAGCAGCCGCGGUAAUACGUAGGUGGCAAGCGUUGUCCGGAAUUAUUGGGCGUAAAGGGCUCGCAGGCGGUUUCUUAAGUCUGAUGUGAAAGCCCCCGGCUCAACCGGGGAGGGUCAUUGGAAACUGGGGAACUUGAGUGCAGAAGAGGAGAGUGGAAUUCCACGUGUAGCGGUGAAAUGCGUAGAGAUGUGGAGGAACACCAGUGGCGAAGGCGACUCUCUGGUCUGUAACUGACGCUGAGGAGCGAAAGCGUGGGGAGCGAACAGGAUUAGAUACCCUGGUAGUCCACGCCGUAAACGAUGAGUGCUAAGUGUUAGGGGGUUUCCGCCCCUUAGUGCUGCAGCUAACGCAUUAAGCACUCCGCCUGGGGAGUACGGUCGCAAGACUGAAACUCAAAGGAAUUGACGGGGGCCCGCACAAGCGGUGGAGCAUGUGGUUUAAUUCGAAGCAACGCGAAGAACCUUACCAGGUCUUGACAUCCUCUGACAAUCCUAGAGAUAGGACGUCCCCUUCGGGGGCAGAGUGACAGGUGGUGCAUGGUUGUCGUCAGCUCGUGUCGUGAAAUGUUGGGUUAAGUCCCGCAACGAGCGCAACCCUUGAUCUUAGUUGCCAGCAUUCAGUUGGGCACUCUAAGGUGACUGCCGGUGACAAACCGGGAGGAAGG
rnacentral:rRNA from 2 species